rnacentral:rRNA from 1 species
GACGGAGGGUGCAAGCGUUGUUCGGAUUGACUGGGCGUAAAGGGCGUGUAGGCGGUUGGUCAAGUCGGGUGUGAAAGCCUGAGGCUCAGCCUCAGAAGUGCAUCCGAAACUAGCCAGCUGGAGCGCGAUAGAGGAGGGUGGAAUUCCUGGUGUAGCGGUGAAAUGCGUAGAUAUCAGGAGGAACACCGGCGGCGAAGGCGGCCCUCUGGAUCGUUGCUGACGCUGAGACGCGAAAGCGUGGGGAGCAAACAGG